AGAUUUCCUCGUGGCAGCGACUCUCCUUCACCCCUUUGAAUUCGGAAGGAUGGCAUAGACAUCUUAACAACAGGGAUUGCAGUGGCAAAGCUAGGCUAGGUCUUGGAGGCUGGUGUGAGGCGAAGCGGGCGAAGGCAGGAGGCUGAUGGAGAGACUGGGGGGAAGAAAAGCCGAAAUGGAUUCACCGUGCCUUGGAUGGAGGAUGAGAAAGGAACUGCAAGCUCCUUCAACUGCUCUGUCCGGUGAGAAGUGAUCUAGCUUGGGCUGACAAGAGGCUGAGGGAGCCCUCACCACGUUCUUUCGCUUUUUUACCUGCCAAUCAAACUGCUACAAGACAACACCCUGAUCUGCCAUGGACAUCGCGGGUCCAAGCCUGUAGCCCCAAAUCGGAUAAGCUCUGCAGCUGAUAACAAGCAAAAGAGAGAAGCCAGGCAACAGACAUAAUAAAGAAGAAAACAACUCUGAGGAUGCCACUCUGAAUGUUUUAUUUCCUCCAGGGAAGUAGAGUUCGCUCUGAGAGCUCUAGCCUGUGAACUCCGUAUGUAAAUGUGGUCAUCAAGCAAGACUGAACUACCAAGAGGGAAGAUUUUCAAUGUUUCGCUUUCUUAAAACCCUUCACAGCAUCCUUCCUCCAGUGGAACUUUACUCAAAGUUUCCCCCUUCCCAGAACUGGUGAAAAUGGCUCCAAAGCAACAGUGCAAUAGCUCAACCAAUUGUACUACGAAGCUGUUGAGAUGACAUUUUAUCAGAAUCUUUUGUCAAAAUUAGAUUUUAAGUAGGGGUGAGAGUCCUUUGGGAAGAGGGGACCAGAGAGAGUAGAAGCGGGAGGGGGAACCAAGCUGUUCAUAUAAGUAUAUAUACUCUUUCUGUGUGAAGGCCUCUGUGUCUUGGCUUCUCACUAUGUUAAAUCCCUAUUAUAAAACUUAUCUUCACAAAGCCUAUUAUAGUAUUCUGAGAACAAAUUGGACCAUGAAUAACUGAGUUGGAAGUGUAGAUUAUUUUCUACUCAGGGAAAGUUAGAGAUGACAACAGCUUAACUAAAAGAAUAGUGAUUAAUCUUAAAUAGAUGGAUUUCAAAGUUUCUCUCUUGAUAAAGAAUACCUUUGAUAUUUCCCCUCUUCACACUCAAGUUUCCAGUUUCUUUGUGCUAAGAAUUGUCCUAGUGAUUACACUGUCCACCCUCAUACAGCACGGCUCUAACAGUAGAUCGUUUCCUCUCACAUUGUUAAUCUGUCAGAGAGGUGGCCAGAAUGACACUCUACUUCCUAGAGGUUAAAUAUAUGGUUCCAAAGUGAAACCUGUGCUUAGAUGUCAGACUUACGCUUAGGAAUGACAUCUUACAUAAUCAUGAUUCUCAAUUAGAUAAAGUUGUUAUUUUUUUAAUCUUAAAUUUUUUUUUACUACCCUAUAGCUUAUAAAGCACUUCUCAGCUCAUAAUUUUGUUGGAUCCAUAGAAUAAUGUUGCAAAGUAAAUAUCAUUCAUUUCAUUUUACCAAUGAAAAAGCUGAGUUAUUUGCAUAUUGUGACCUGGCUGAUAAAAUAAAGAACUGGAACACCAACUCAGAUUUUAUAAAGCUUCUAUUUCAAGUGUUUAACCUA